AAUGGGCUGGAUCCCGAGGGAGGAGACGCUGAAGCAAUGAUGCCUUCCGGGCUUCCCCGCACCCAACCGCUCUUUGUGGUCCCAAACUCCAGUGUGUGCAUCUUUGGGCUUUGAAACCACGCCGGAACGAUCACAUCCUUCAGGCAGAAGAGGAAACUCUCACCUCCUAGAUGUAUGUAUCUGCAUGAAACUCCAUUAUUAGCAGACCUUGGGAGGUUUUGAAGAAGAGGACAGCAGAGGGAAGGCUGCAACAUCCAGCACCUGAGCCAGAGAACACAAAGCAUCUCUUCCCCUGCUGUGCUGUGAAAUGUGUACGAGAUGUGCAGACUGUCCUCAGACCCACCCCGAGACCUGUGCCCAGCACCUCAGCACCUGCAGCCACGGGAUUACAGCAGCACCUGCACUUUGGUUUAAAGCAAGGACAAGCUUCUAACCUUUGGUUUUGUGGGGUUCAGUUUGAAAUGAGGCAGGGGUGAAACCAACCCCGCCUGAGUGCAAACUGUUCCUCUGCAGUGCAGUUCAGACACGUACCUGAGGCUGCACCCUGGCAGGACAGCUCUCUGCCAUGGCUCAUCUGCCUCCACCUCUGCCCCAGUUUCAAAGCUCUUCAGCAAUAUGUUCUGCAACAAACAAGGAUUUCUGGGGCAACUUCAGUAAGAUCAGAAAGACAUUCUUCUGCUGCUUUGUAAUCUGUGAGUGUGAACGAUUCAUUCAUAUCUAUCUGAUGAUCAAAUAAAUUUUUAAUUAUCAA